CCAUCAUCGAAAUACGUUGUUUCUGUCCGUUUUCCAUCAUUUUGGGUGUUACUUAAAUUUAUGUAACAUGAGAUACACAGUUAUAUUGCUGCACCACAUGCCUCCUUGUUUCAGAGGGUGUGUACGUCGUGAACAAAUGAACCCAGCAAACCGUGGUUAGAACGUGGCGGCGUAUGGAUUCAGGACGACAGGAGACGCCUUACGUUCCAGAAUGGGACAGUCCCGCAGCUGCCCCGGCUUGAUAUACCCCUGGGGAGUUGUGUGUGGUGGAAGGGGCCCACCUGGGAGAUUUACAUCUAUGCAUAAAAAUGAUGGGCUCCCAAACUGUUCACAGAGGGACUGAAACACUUCAAUUCAGAGAGAAAAAUCCAAUCAAAGAGAUGAUGAACUUUAUAUAUGAAAACCUAAAACCCAGUGAGCGAAAGUCAGCUAGAGGAGAUUUUGUUUUGUUUUGCUCUUGGGAGAAAAGAGCGAAUGAGUGUUAUCAGUGUGAUCAGUGACCACUACAACCUGCAGAGUCAGCACACGAGAGCAUUGUUUCCUGUGCUUUGUGCUGAGAAUGCAGGACGCAGGUGAAGACUGGUGACAGGAAUCCACGGCAUCCCCGAUCAUUAAAGCGAUUAAUUUAACAACUUGUCAUUUAGAAUUUAUUCUGCACUGCGACACCAAGGUGGCCCCAAGUGAGACUGCUGACAACCUGUAGAACUAAUCAGCGAAUUGAGCUCAGAGGAGAGAUAAAGGACCAGGUAUUGGACACGAACAGCUUUCUUGUACACCAACAAUAACCAACUGGGCAGAAAGGAUCCCACUUACAGCAGCAAAGAAAGCUAUAAAGUAACUAGGAAUAAAGUCAAUAAAGCCGAGU